rnacentral:rRNA from 1 species
UACGUAGGGUGCAAGCGUUGUCCGGAAUUAUUGGGCGUAAAGAGCUCGUAGGCGGUCUGUCGCGUCGGCUGUGAAAACCCGGAGCUCAACUCCGGGCCUGCAGUCGAUACGGGCAGACUGGAGUUCGGCAGGGGAGACUGGAAUUCCUGGUGUAGCGGUGAAAUGCGCAGAUAUCAGGAGGAACACCGGUGGCGAAGGCGGGUCUCUGGGCCGAUACUGACGCUGAGGCGCGACAGCGUGGGGAGCAAACAGG